AAGACCUUACUUCAUAGGAUCAUUUCUUUAGUAAGCUCUUAACAAGACGAACGGUGUCUUAAGACAAAGU